CCCGCGCUCCUCCGGGCAGAGCGCGUGUGGCGGCCGAGCACAUGGGCCCGCGGGCCGGGCGGGCUCGGGGCGGCCGGGACGAGGAGGGGCGACGACGAGCUGCGAGCAAAGAUGUGCCCCGGGACCCCCGGCACCUUCCAGUGGAUUUCCUUGCGGAAAGGAUGUUGGCGGUCCCUGUGACCUGUGGAGACACGGCCAGAUCUGCCCUCCAGACCAUAGCUGUCUGCAGUGCAGGAAGCCAACUAUUAAGGGGAAACAAAAGUGUUCUUAGGAGUCCUGCUGUCACUGUGGAUUGAGCCGGUGAAGCCCUGAGGGAUUUCAUCGCUGAGGUGGAUGGAGAAGCAGCUGGGGGCCUUGGCUGUAAGGACCCCUAAGGGCCUGAUCUUUUGGCCAGAAGGAGAUUAAAAAGAUGCCCCUCAAGAUGGCUGUGCCUGUCAGCUGCAUGGAGCUUCGUUCAAGUAUUUUCUGAGCCUGAUGGAUUUACAGUGAUCUUCAGUGGUCUGGGGAAUAACGCUGGUGGAACCAUGCACUGGAAUGACACACGCCCGGCACAUUUCAGGAUACUAAAAGUGGUUUUAAGGGAGGCUGUGGCUGAAUGCCUCAUGGAUUCUUACAGCUUGGAUGUCCAUGGGGGACGAAGGACUGCAGCUGGCUGAGAGGGUUGAGAUCUCUGUUUACUUAGAUCUCUGCCAACUUCCUUUGGGUCUCCCUAUGGAAUGUAAGACCCCGACUCUUCCUGGUGAAGCAUCUGAUGCACGUUCCAUCCGGCGCUCAGCUGGGCUUGAGCUGACCAUACUCCCUGGAGCCUUCUCCCGAGGUGCGCGGGUGACCUUGGCACAUACAGCCAUCAUGAUGGUACUUUAAGUGGAGGCUGAAUCAUCUCCCCUUUGAGCUGCUUGGCACGUGGCUCCCUUGGUGUUCCCCUUUUACUGCCAGGACACUGAGAUUUGGAGAGAAUCCUGUUACACCUGGGAUUUAGGCACUUUCAAUCUGAAAAAAUACAUAUCCUUUCAGCACUCUGGACGGACUUGAGAACUGUCCUUACGUGACCUAAAGCUGGAGUAUUUUGAGAUUGGAGAAUUAAGGCCAACAGAGAUUUUGAGAAACACAUUGAAGGAUCUGUUAACACUUGAUAUACCCAAUAAAAGCAGUGGUUGUGCCAGUGCUGAUCUGUCUUGAUGUGAAUGUGAACAAUGGGAACCUGAGCUGAGCAGUUAAUGCUAGGGUGACAGAAACUGGACCUCUCCCAAGACAUGUGACAGAGUAAUACAGCAGCCAACUUCUUCGCCAAAUUAAAGUUUUACAAGAUUUAACCUGUCAUCAAGACCUGGGAUUUUGGUGAGCCAGUCUUGGUGCUCUGUGUUCACCUGGUUCAUCUGAGGAGCUGCAUCUACCCUGCCCAUGCCAUAGAUCCUGCCCUGUUUGCUUCUCCUGUUGCUGCUAGUGGACAUGAGAAGGACAGAAUAACGGGCUCCCAGAUUCACAAGCCCCACCAAGAGGAUCACCCCAGGAACGCUUGGAGGCUGAGGAGUUCACUGAGGCUACUGCAUCUUGAGACUCAGGAUGAAGACCCAGCUUGGGGCUGUCAAAGGUUUUUUGCAUGUCUGACACCCAUGACUCCACCUGGACCUUAUGGCUCCACCCAGAAGCAAUUCAGCCCAACAGGAGGACAGCUUCAACCCAUUACGAUUUCAUCUCUGCCCCAACCACUCAGCAGCAAGCACCUGUUACCUGUCCACCCCCACCCCUUCCCCCAAACUGCCUUUGAAAAAUCCCUAACCUAUGAGCUUUGAAUAAGAUGAGUACGAACUUCAUCGCCCACGUGGCGUGGCCGGCCUCGUGUCUAUUAAAUUCUUUUUCUACUACAA
rnacentral:lncRNA from 1 species